rnacentral:lncRNA from 10 species
CACACACACACACACACACACACACACGCACGAACACAGACGGACAAGGAGCAAGGAGUCUGGCUACCAAGAAAUAACAGUUCACCUUAGAAGGAGGCACCUUUCAUCAGAUAAGCACUGACAUUUACAUGGUUUCCCUAAUCUGAGUUCCCUAGGGACAUUUAUUUACUAGAAGGAUCAACUUCUAAUUUGGGAACAGAAACAAAAGAUUCCUGAGGAUUGGCUUGAGACCAUGCUAAGCAGAAUUGGGGUUACGCUGAAGUGGCACAGCCCAGUCUGCCCUGGGCGACUUGAAGAAUCCAAAAGUGCUAGCAACAAAACCCUCUGAAGCCAAACCCCUCACCCAAGCAACGCAUAUCGUGGGAUACAUGUCAUGUAGGAGUCAUAUUGACCUUCCUUCUUAGAAACAUGCUGAUUCCUUCAUCGGAACAGCCCCUGUGAGUGCUGUCUGCAAGGCUUUCUGCUGGGGCUUGUUUGAGUCCUUGAUUUGUGUAGGUCUGAGGUUAUUGGUUGGUAACUUAAUAAUGCACAAAUUCAAUAUCAUGCAGACAUCAGUCUUCACGGUGAUAACAGCAUGAGCCUAAAUUAACUCCAGAGUAUUAGAGCAUAAUUUACAGUUCUAAGGCACAUUACAAAAAAUGAGAGAAAAGAGUUGUCAGUUCUGUUCUGACAGGCCUCUGCUACUGAACAGUGGGAUUCUUCUUCACAUCAAAUCCACAGGCGCAGAAGACUUGCAUAUCCUGGGGUACCAAAUCUUCAGAAUCUUGACUUAAGAAAGUCAGAAUUGGAAACAGAGCUGCUACAAUGGCAAUGACGAGCUGCUCAGCUCCUGAAACAAAUUUUCUUUGUCCUACAGCAACGGAUCUGCAAAUUAAUUUUCUUUCUUUGCUGGAAUCUGUUACCUUGCAUCCACUCAUGGGCAGUCACCUAGAGGCUUCCCCACCACCGGCCCAGACACAUCUCCUUCAUUCUUAUGUUGCUUUAGAAAUGUGCACGGAUGCUUUCUUUUUAAUAAAAAAAAUAUAAACUUAGUCUAUAACAGAUAUGCACUUGUAAUGAAAGUUUUAUUAAAUGGAAAUAUAAGUGAGAGAAUUUCAGUGAAAAAAUGUUUAAUUUUGUCUUAGGCUUCUGACAUUUGGAGAUAUUUCAUUUUAUUCAGUUGGAAAUGUAUACCCAGCAAAGACAGGUUAUUAUUUCUAGUUAACUUGUAUUUGGAAAUUGGGUAACUAACACCAGAUAGUCUUGGAUAAUUAGUUUAAAUAACUGCAUAAUAAACCUAAUCAUCAAAUGGGAAGAGUAGGCAUUUCUAAAAUUCAUUCAUUCACUCCUUGUUUGUUUCUUUAUUCAAUGUAAGUUUAUUAAGCACCAACGAAGCACUAUGCUCAACGUGUCAUCCCUUUAUUAGAGAACACUGUCAACUGAUUAUAUAUCAUUUGACAGUGUUUAGAGUCACACAUCCAUACCAUAAUAUUGAUUGAUCACCUAUCAUGGAUGCAAUUCUUACAUCAGUUUGAUGUCUUGUAGCAGUCAACAACACAGAACAAACAACAUAAUCCCUGCCUUUGUAGCGUUCACAUUCUACUAUUGUUUAGAGGAAAGUAACCGAUAAACAUAAUAAAUAAGUACCUUAUGGAUUUUUGAGGUGAUAAUUGCUAAGAAAAAAAAUAGAGCAGUGUGUGGGUGGGGGCGGGGAGCUGCAAAUAUAAAUAGGACAAUCAGGGUAGGCCUCUUAUUAACUAGAAAAAAUUUGCCAUUUUCUGUGUUGUCUGACCAGAAGCGCUGAUACAAUCUUUCCACCGUCCACCCCUAAUCUUUACGAAACAAAGAAAAUCAUGGAAACUUUCAAGAUAGUGUUUAAACUGGCCGUCCCUUUCUAAGUCAGCAACCACACUCUCAAACACACACACAUACACACACACCCCACACCCGCCACACACACACACAUACACACACACACCACACCACACAAGCAGGAAGCAGAAGGACGUAGAAUGGCUGGAGUGGCCAACUAUACCAGAAAGUGUGGUUCACAUAGACAAAGGUCUAGAAAGAGGGAUUGAGACCCCUUUUCCUGACAAGUACAGCCUCGUUAAACUCAAGUUUUUAAAGUUUAACCUCACUGGUAAUCCAAAAACAGUAUUGCAGUGUAUAUUUUUUAAAAUUUCUCUAAUUGAGAUUUCCUUUUUAAAUUAUAUUACCAAAUGCUGGUGGGGCUACAGUGAGAAGGCAAAGCUUCCAUUUAGUGGAGAAACAUAAAUGAUGUAAUAUUUCUGGGAAAGAAUUUAGGAAUAUAGAACAGGGGCUUGAAGCAUUUAUUUAAAUGACAUGAUCCAUUUUAAGAGUCCACACUAAAGUCAGACCCAUUAUUGUGUAAAGAUUCUUACAAUAGCUUAACUUGGAAGAGGUAAGCCUGGAAACAACUUUGUAAGUAUAGUAACAGUAGCAUACUUAAAUAAAUUAUAAUGUAUUCAAACAUAGACUAUCAAAUAACUAUAAAAGUAAUAUUUAGGCCAGGUACAGUGGCUCAUGCCUGUAAUUGCAGCACUUUGGAAGGCCAAAGUCGGAGGAUCCUUUGAGUCCAGGCAUUUGAGACCAGCCAGGGUAACUUAGCGAGACCCUAUCUCUACAAAAAAUACAAAAAUGAAGUGGGAGGAUGACUUUAGCCUGGGAGGUUAAGGCUGCAGUGAGCCAAGAUCAUGCCAAUGUACUCAACCUGGGGGACACAGUGAGAUCUCGUCUCAAGAAAAGCAAAGUAAUAUUUAGUAAUAUACAAAAAUAUGUGAAUUAACUUAUAUUAAAAAAUGUAAUUUGCACUAUGAACUCAAAAUAUAUGAAGUUUAAUACAAUAAAGAACCCUAAAGAUAAUCAAUAAAAUGUUAUUUUUUGAAUAAAGUGCUUAUGGCUGGCUAAUUUUUGUUUUAUACUUAUUUUUUUUCUACUUUGUAAAUUUUCACUAGUGAAAGGCGUUACUUUUACAGCUAGAAUAUUUUUAAAAGUUUGUUGUUCAGCAACUGACACUCUUAAGAUUGAAUAACAAAGGGCUGGGCACGGUAGUUCAUGCCUGUAAUCCCAGCACUUUGGGAGGCUGAGGUGGGUGGAUCACCUGAGGUCAGGAGUUAGAGACCAGCCUGGCCAACAUGACAAAACCUUGUCUCUACUAAAAAUACAAAAAAUUAGGCGUGGUGGCAGGUGCCUGUAAUUCCACCUACUCAGAAGGCUGAGGGAGGAGAAUUGCUUGAGCCCGGGAGGCAGAGGUUGCAGAGAGCAGAGAUCACGCCAUUGCACUCCAGCCUGGGCAACAAGAGUGACACAUUGUCUCAAAAAAAAUAAAUAAAUAAAAAUGAAAAAAAAAUUGAAUAACAAAAAUUCUUCCUCACUUCAUGAGCAACUAUUAAAAUUAAAUUAAAUUUUAAUUUAAUUAAAUCAUAAUUAACAAUUAAAAUGUAGUAUUCUCAGAAAAGCAGAUUACAUCAAUUUCUUUACACAAGACCCGAAAGAUAUGUUCUGGGAAGUUGACAGAUACCCUGUACUUUUUGUUUAAUUUUCCAUUUUUACUUAGUUAAAAAUCAAACCAGUACUGACAUUUAAAAAAUACUACACUCAAUCACAUAACUGGGGUGCUCUCUCCUUGGGACAGCAGGGAUAGGGGACAGUGAGAGGAGUGAAUGUCUCCCUCUCCAUGAGCAAGCUUUCCACUCACAGUAGUCCCCCUUCUUGUUGCGAUGGACGCAUUUUCUGCUCCUCCGACCUGUGAACGCACAGCCUGGUAGCCCUCUGGAGCCCUGUUGCCCAUCCCCAUCUCCUUCUUUACACUCUGGGCAUCCUCUUCCAGAUCGGUGUCAUCCUUCAACAGGUUUUCCUUCUCAUUUUCCUUCAAGCUAUUUGUUCCAUUUUUUUUUUCCGUGGAAGGGUCCUUCCAUCUUUCCCUUGGCUGUUAUGUUUCUUCAUUUAAUGUUUUUAAUGGGAUCCCACGAAGGAAAGGAUAUAGCACACGAGAGCUGAGUUAACAACUGAUAUGGUUUGGCUCCGUGUCCCACCCAAAUCUCAUGUUGAGUUGUAAUCCCUAACGUUGGGGGAAGGACCUGGUGGGAGGUGACUGGAUCAUGGGGGUUUCUAAUGUUGCCCUUGUAACAUAUAUUUCCCAACAAGGGGAUCAAGCUUGUAGCUCUGUUGAAGAAACUGACUCUAUUAUAUACCACCAAAAUAUUUUUAAAAUACAAAGAGAAUCUAUCAUAAUUUUUGAAGAAUAAGUACCUCAUUCUGAUAUGAGUGCUUUUCUUUUGAACAUUAAUCACUAAGUGAAAAGAUAAAGUAUAAAUAUUAAUUAUCACUCACUAGGAUUUUAGGUCCGUCAGAGCAGGGUUUCAUCUGACAUGCCCAUCACUGUUUCUAACUGCCUCAAACAGCGAAUGGCACAAGGCAGAUACUUGAUACAUAAUAAUCAAAUAUGCCUGAUAAAAAUUUCUAACUGGAGGUUAAGGAAGCCUCUGAAGUCACAGAAGAAAUCAGGUUAGAAAGUUAAUGAUCUUCCCCACAGUUCUUGCUAUGCUGAGACUAAGCCACAUAAUUUUCAUUUCUUCCUAAACAUCCUCAGAGAAUAAGAGUGAGGUGAGGCUGGCGAAGACAGAUGACCCCAAAGCGCUUCUGAGCCACCCUUGCUUUGGAGAGCAGAGCUUCAACUCAGAGCUCAGAGCUGCAGGCUCAGAGGUCUAAGAAUCUCCCCUCCCAGCCACUCCCCAGAAUGAACCCCCUGCCCAUCGUGGCUUCAGCUCCUGCCCAGCACUCAAAGUAGCUCUGCCGGUAACACCGGCAGACAAUGGAAUUGCAGGAAGGGAUAAUAUUUGUUCCAGGGAUGGUGGCCUAAAC